GGCAUGGGCGGCAGCUACACAUGCAGUCGAACGGUAACAGGAAGCAGCUUGCUGCUUUGCUGACGAGUGGCGGACGGGUGAGUAAUGUCUGGGAAACUGCCUGAUGGAGGGGGAUAACUACUGGAAAGGUAGCUAAUACCGCAUAACGUCGCAAGACCAAAGAGGGGGACCUUCGGGCCUCUUGCCAUCGGAUGUGCCCAGAUGGGAUUAGCUAGUAGGUGGGGUAACGGCUCACCUAGGCGACGAUCCCUAGCGGUCUGAGAGGAUGACCAGCCACACUGGAACUGAGACACGGUCCAGACUCCUACGGGAGGCAGCAGUGGGGAAUAUUGCACAAUGGGCGCAAGCCUGAUGCAGCCAUGCCGCGUGUAUGAAGAAGGCUUCGGGUUGUAAAGUACUUUCAGCGGGGAGGAAGGCGACAGGGUUAAUAACCCUGUCGAUUGACGUUACCCGCAGAAGAAGCACCGGCUAACUCCGUGCCAGCAGCCGCGGUAAUACGGAGGGUGCAGCGUUAAUCGGAAUUACUGGGCGUAAAGCGCACGCAGGCGGUCUGUCAAGUCGGAUGUGAAAUCCCCGGGCUCAACCUGGGAACUGCAUUCGAAACUGGCAGGCUAGAGUCUUGUAGAGGGGGGUAGAUUCCAGGUGUAGCGGUGAAAUGCGUAGAGAUCUGGAGGAAUACCGGUGGCGAAGGCGGCCCCCUGGACAAAGACUGACGCUCAGGUGCGAAAGCGUGGGGAGCAAACAGGAUUAGAUACCCUGGUAUCCACGCCGUAGACGAUGUCGACUUGGAGGUUGUGCCCUUGAGGCGUGGCUUCCGGAGCUAACGCGUUAAGUCGACCGCCUGGGGAGUACGGCCGCAAGGUUAAAACUCAAAUGAAUUGACGGGGGCCCGCACAAGCGGUGGAGCAUGUGGUUUAAUUCGAUGCAACGCGAAGAACCUUACCUACUCUUGACAUCCAGAGAACUU
rnacentral:rRNA from 1 species